AACGAACGCUGGCGGCGGGCUUAACACAUGCAAGUCGAGCGCGUAGCAAUACGAGCGGCAGACGGGUGAGUAACGCGUGGGAACGUACCCUUUUCUACGGAAUAACCCAGGGAAACUUGGACUAAUACCGUAUACGCCCUUCGGGGGAAAGAUUUAUCGGAGAAGGAUCGGCCCGCGUUGGAUUAGCUAGUUGGUGGGGUAAAGGCCUACCAAGGUGACGAUCCAUAGCUGGUCUGAGAGGAUGAUCAGCCACAUUGGGACUGGGACACGGCCCAAACUCCUACGGGGGGCAGCAGUGGGGAAUAUUGGACAAUGGGCGCAAGCCUGAUCCAGCCAUGCCGCGUGAGUGAUGAAGGCCUUAGGGUUGUAAAGCUCUUUCACCGGGGAAGAUAAUGACGGUACCCGGAGAAGAAGCCCCGGCUAACUUCGUGCCAGCCGCCGCCGUAA
rnacentral:rRNA from 1 species